CCAUUUUUAUCUUUGUUUACUUUCAUGUCUGCUGUUUUGAUAGGUCCCAGAAAAAAGUUUGUGCAUCGGAAUUUGAUUAACUUGAGUGUGUUUGUAAAGUUGUAAAGUUUGCGUAGACCAGAGGUGUUUCUUUCAACAUAUUCCGUUUCAUCAGUGUUGAUAUAACGGGAUUUUUAUAUGAUCAUGAACUAACAAAGUGCAAAUGAUGUAGUGAAAAAGUGCGCGUGCGAAUGAAUCGCACGUGCUGCGCAUGCUGACAAUGAGCAUUGUUCGCAGUUGCCCGGGGAAGAAAGCAACAGUGCAUAUUGCUGUUCUAACGCGGAAAUAGCCCUAUGGAUACCUCUACAAGUACGCAACGACAUUCAGUCAUCCUUAUUUUGAAGUUUUGUCAAAGGCACUUCAUAUGCAAGGAUACUUUUGGCAGUGAAGUUUGCCUCCUUUGACCAUCUGAUCACUGCAUCCUUUCGACUGCUAGCUAACAUGUUUAUCCAUCAUGAGGUAUCCGGUGGGUUUGUCAUCAGUUCGUGAUCAUGGAUUUCUACCAGUACAAUGGUCGCCAGCAUGAUCUACUUACAAUUAUUAAUCUUGUAAAUACUUUCUGGAAUAAAUUCCUUUCAAAAAAACA